rnacentral:rRNA from 1 species
GACCUGCCUCGAGGAGGGGGAUAACAGCGGGAAACUGCUGCUAAUACCCCAUAUGCCGAAAGGUGAAAAGAAAUUUGCCUUGAGAGGGGCUCGCGUCCGAUUAGCUAGUUGGUGAGGUAAGAGCUUACCAAGGCGACGAUCGGUAGCUGGUCUGAGAGGAUGAGCAGCCACACUGGGACUGAGACACGGCCCAGACUCCUACGGGAGGCAGCAGUGGGGAAUUUUCCGCAAUGGGCGAAAGCCUGACGGAGCAACGCCGCGUGGGGGAAGAAGGCCUUUGGGUUGUAAACUCCUUUUCUCAGGGAAGAAGAACUGACGGUACCUGAGGAAUCAGCCUCGGCUAACUCCGUGCCAGCAGCCGCGGUAAUACGGAGGAGGCAAGCGUUAUCCGGAAUUAUUGGGCGUAAAGCGUUCGUAGGCGGCGUUUCAAGUCUGCUGUCAAAGGCCGAGGCUCAACUUCGGAAAGGCAGUGGAAACUGAAAAGCUAGAGGUCGGUAGGGGCAGAGGGAAUUCCCAGUGUAGCGGUGAAAUGCGUAGAUAUUGGGAAGAACACCGGUGGCGAAAGCGCUCUGCUGGGCCGAACCUGACGCUGACGGACGAAAGUAGGGGCUCC